rnacentral:tRNA from 1 species
GGGCACUUGGUGUAGUUGGUUUAUCACGCCCGCUUAGCACUUACCAGUCUGCGGGAGGGGACCGGUUCAAUUCCGGUAGUGUCCA